GAUGAACGCUGUGGCGUGCCUAAUACAUGCAAGUCGAGCGAACAGAUAAGGAGCUUGCUCCUUUGACGUUAGCGGCGGACGGGUGAGUAACACGUGGGUAACCUACCUAUAAGACUGGGAUAACUUCGGGAAACCGGAGCUAAUACCGGAUAACAUUUGGAACCGCAUGGUUCUAAAGUGAAAGAUGGUUUUGCUAUCACUUAUAGAUGGACCCGCGCCGUAUUAGCUAGUUGGUAAGGUAACGGCUUACCAAGGCAACGAUACGUAGCCGACCUGAGAGGGUGAUCGGCCACACUGGAACUGAGACACGGUCCAGACUCCUACGGGAGGCAGCAGUAGGGAAUCUUCCGCAAUGGGCGAAAGCCUGACGGAGCAACGCCGCGUGAGUGAUGAAGGGUUUCGGCUCGUAAAACUCUGUUAUUAGGGAAGAACAAAUGUGUAAGUAACUGUGCACGUCUUGACGGUACCUAAUCAGAAAGCCACGGCUAACUACGUG
rnacentral:rRNA from 1 species